CUAGAGAAAAAACCUCUGGAUCGCGUAUCCACAACCUAUCGGUUGUUUUUUAAAGAACAGUGAGAGGCAAGGCGUCGGGGGUUCGACAUCGCGAGCUGAUGUUGGACUCCUGAACUGAUCCUCGAGUUGUAGAUGGGGGUCGGUAGCUCAGUCGGUUAGAGCACCGUCUUGAUAAGGCGGGGGUCGUAGGUUCGAUUCCUACCUGACCCACCAGAUGAUCAAGAGGGGGCAUAGCUCAGCUGGGAGAGCACCGGCUUUGCAAGCCGGGGGUCGUCGGUUCGAUCCCGACUGCCUCCACCAGAGAUCAGAAGAGAGCGUACUCGGAUGAGUGUGCUGUGUUCUGGUUUUUACCAGUAAGACUGUUCGAUCUUUAACAAAUUGGAAGAAGUGUGCAGUAUCUGUUGAUGAGACAGGUGCUGCAUGGGUUGUGUGAUUGCAUUUUGCAUCACUGCUGGCUUUGAACCAGCACAGUGGUGGUGCGCACAAACGCGAGUGAGUCUAUGGCAUUGUCUCUGAGCGAUCAGAGUGCAAGGUUAUAGG
rnacentral:tRNA from 1 species